rnacentral:rRNA from 1 species
CGAUGAUGCCCAGCUUGCUGGGCGGAUUAGUGGCGAACGGGUGAGUAAUACGUGAGUAACCUGCCCUUGACUCUGGGAUAAGCCUGGGAAACUGGGUCUAAUACUGGAUACUACCUCUURCCGCAUGGUGGGUGGUGGAAAGGGUUUUACUGGUUUUGGAUGGGCUCACGGCCUAUCAGCUUGUUGGUGGGGUAAUGGCUCACCAAGGCGACGACGGGUAGCCGGCCUGAGAGGGUGACCGGCCACACUGGGACUGAGACACGGCCCAGACUCCUACGGGAGGCAGCAGUGGGGAAUAUUGCACAAUGGGCGGAAGCCUGAUGCAGCGACGCCGCGUGAGGGAUGACGGCCUUCGGGUUGUAAACCUCUUUCAGUAGGGAAGAAGCGAGAGUGACGGUACCUGCAGAAGAAGCGCCGGCUAACUACGUGCCAGCAGCCGCGGUAAUACGUAGGGCGCAAGCGUUGUCCGGAAUUAUUGGGCGUAAAGAGCUCGUAGGCGGUUUGUCGCGUCUGCUGUGAAAGCCCGGGGCUCAACCCCGGGUCUGCAGUGGGUACGGGCAGACUAGAGUGCAGUAGGGGAGACUGGAAUUCCUGGUGUAGCGGUGAAAUGCGCAGAUAUCAGGAGGAACACCGAUGGCGAAGGCAGGUCUCUGGGCUGUUACUGACGCUGAGGAGCGAAAGCAUGGGGAGCGAACAGGAUUAGAUACCCUGGUAGUCCAUGCCGUAAACGUUGGGCACUAGGUGUGGGGGACAUUCCACGUUUUCCGCGCCGUAGCUAACGCAUUAAGUGCCCCGCCUGGGGAGUACGGCCGCAAGGCUAAAACUCAAAGGAAUUGACGGGGGCCCGCACAAGCGGCGGAGCAUGCGGAUUAAUUCGAUGCAACGCGAAGAACCUUACCAAGGCUUGACAUUCACCGGACCGCCCCAGAGAUGGGGUUUCCCUUCGGGGCUGGUGGACAGGUGGUGCAUGGUUGUCGUCAGCUCGUGUCGUGAGAUGUUGGGUUAAGUCCCGCAACGAGCGCAACCCUCGUUCUAUGUUGCCAGCACGUGAUGGUGGGGACUCAUAGGAGACUGCCGGGGUCAACUCGGAGGAAGGUGGGGAUGACGUCAAAUCAUCAUGCCCCUUAUGUCUUGGGCUUCACGCAUGCUACAAUGGCCGGUACAAAGGGUUGCGAUACUGUGAGGUGGAGCUAAUCCCAAAAAGCCGGUCUCAGUUCGGAUUGAGGUCUGCAACUCGACCUCAUGAAGUCGGAGUCGCUAGUAAUCGCAGAUCAGCAACGCUGCGGUGAAUACGUUCCCGGGCCUUGUACACACCGCCCGUCAAGUCACGAAAGUUGGUAACACCCGAAGCCGGUGGNCCUAACCCC